GUUGGUAGCAAGGAAACCAUGAGCUCUGAGGAGCACAAGCUGGGAGAGACCAGAAGUUCUUAUCCUUUCUUGGGGUCUGUGCUCCCUCUGAGAAUCGGAGAAAAGCGCCCCAGAAAAAAACAACCAGAAAGAUUUAUUUAAGGAUCAGAGGAAGUAAUCACAGGAGACUCUCCUGCCUGCCUCACAAAACACAACUAGAAAUAGACAGGUCUCUGGGAGACUACAUGACAAUGUGGCAAGCCAGUGCUUUUGCGGUAUGAGAGCGGCAUUCUGUGGGUGUGUGAUAAGAGAGCAUAAAUGAUCUGCAUUUGGACAAACCCAGGAAGGUGCAUUUGCUCUUCAGAAGGUGCAGAUCUGGGAAAACUGCAAAAGGAGGUAGCAGUUGAAGCCAAAUGGACAGAAAGCCCGAGACAACAUGAAGUUGUUCUACAAGUUAUUUUGGAGAAAUUGACUUACCAUACCACUCAUCAACCCAUGCAAAAGCCUGUCUAUGUCCAAUCAGCAGAAUGUCUCGGACCACCUAAAAAGUAAAAGAAGGAGACUGAAAUAAUAGCAUCUUUGAUGAAAACUAUCUGGAAGACAAGUUGUUAACAAUUCUGGGGAUCUUGGUGAUUACAGAGUUCUUAAUCCCUCUG
rnacentral:lncRNA from 1 species